GGCUUUCUUCGCGGCGGAGCUCGACCGCCCAUCAAAGUAAUCGUUGCCUUCAUCGACGAGAACAAACACGAGUUUGGAGUCGAGCCAAUCGUGCGCGCCCUGAAAGGGACUGCUGCA
rfam:Brevibacterium sandarakinum strain DSM 22082 genome assembly, chromosome: I